rnacentral:lncRNA from 1 species
CCCCUUCUCUUUUUUACGUGCAUCAUCAACAUCAUCUUUGUACUCCCAUCCCACCCCUCUCUCUCUCUCUCUCUCUCUCUCUCUCUGCUAAAGAGUUUGUCUUCUUGGGUCGUCAAUAGUGUAUUCUCUCUGCAGCUAUAAAUUUGCAUAGAUACUCUCUCCAAAUGUCCUCCUUUUCUUACUGUGUAUUAAAUUUUCACUGUCCAUUGUAGCGCCCAGUGCAUAUAUGAAAAUUAGACACAGGA